AAGUCGUAACAAGGUUUCCGUAGGUGAACCUGCGGAAGGAUCAUUCAUAAUUGAGUGUUUUAUGGCACUCUUUAAAAAAAUCCAUAUCCACCUUGUGUGCAACGUUUUUGAACUCUCUGGCAUUAAAAAGCCAAGAGGGUUUGAUUAACUUAACACCUUUAAAGCAGUUUGUCUGAAUAUCUAUUUCUGAAUAAACAUAAUUCAAAAUAUAACUUUCAACAACGGAUCUCUUGGCUCUC
rnacentral:misc_RNA from 1 species